GGAUAGCUCAGUUGGUAGAGUAGAGAACAUGGGAUUCUUAAUCUCUGGCUCGUGAGUUUGAGCCCCACGUUGGGCA